rnacentral:misc_RNA from 1 species
UCUCCGUAGGUGAACCUGCGGAGGGAUCAUUACAGAGCGUCGCGCCCCCCGGGGUCGAUCUCCCACCCUGUGUCUCCCGUACCCCACGUUGCUUCGGCGGGCCGCCUCGGCCACCGGCUCCGGCUGGUGCGCGCCCGCCGGAGGACCCCCAACUCUGGAUGUCAGUGUCGUCUGAGCACUAUACAAUAGUCAAAACUUUCAACAACGGAUCUCUUGGUUCUGGCAUCGAUGAAGAACGCAGC